UACAGAGGGUGCGAGCGUUAAUCGGAAUUACUGGGCGUAAAGCGUGCGUAGACGGUUAUUUAAGUCGGGUGUGAAAGCCCCGGGCUCAACCUGGGAAUUGCAUUCGAGACUGAAUAGCUAGGGUACGGUAGAGGGAAGUGGAAUUUCCGGUGUAGCGGUGAAAUGCGUAGAUAUCGGAAGGAACAUCAGUGGCGAAAGCGACUUCCUGGACCAAUACUGACGCUCAUGUGCGAAAGCGUGGGGAGC
rnacentral:rRNA from 1 species